rnacentral:rRNA from 1 species
CCAGACUCCUACGGGAGGCAGCAGUGGGGAAUAUUGCACAAUGGGGGGAACCCUGAUGCAGCGACGCCGCGUGGGUGAAGGAGUAUUUCGGUAUGUAAAGCCCUAUCAGCAGGGAAGAACAAUGACGGUACCUGACUAAGAAGCACCGGCUAAAUACGUGCCAGCAGCCGCGGUAAUACGUAUGGUGCAAGCGUUAUCCGGAUUUACUGGGUGUAAAGGGAGCGCAGGCGGCGCGUUAAGCCUGGUGUGAAAGCCCGCGGCCCAACCGCGGGACUGCAUUGGGAACUGGCGCGCUGGAGUGCCGGAGGGGUAGGCGGAAUUCCUAGUGUAGCGGUGAAAUGCGUAGAUAUUAGGAGGAACACCAGUGGCGAAGGCGGCCUACUGGACGGUGACUGACGCUGAGGCUCGAAAGCGUGGGGAGCAAACAGGAUUAGAUACCCCAGUA